GCCCAGGUGGCGGAACCGGCAGACGCGCUAGCUUGAGGGGCUAGUGACCGCAAGGUCGUGGGGGUUCAAAUCCCUUCCUGGGCACCG
rnacentral:tRNA from 1 species